UUACGGCCAUUUCACGUUGAAACACCAAUUCCCACGCGAUCACUGAUGUUAAGCAAUGUUGAGUCUUGUCAGUAUAUAGAUGGGUGACUGCUUGGGAAUACUAGGUGCUGUAA